rnacentral:lncRNA from 1 species
ACAAUCAUGGAUCAGGGUUCUUCAUUAGAAUCAGAUCAGGACUAUUAAAAAAAAAUUUUCAUUCACUAACCUUUUUAGAGAGAGAAUCAAUCAAGAGAGAGAAUAUUUUAGAGAGAGAAAAUUUUAGAGAGAGAAAAUUCAUCUUAGACUCCUCAGACAAUAUGAUUCAACAAAUUCGAUCGAUCAGAUCAAAUCAUGCUAAGAUUAUCAUGUAGAUAAUUUAAUAAAAUCAUGAGAAAUAAAAUCUAAAAAUACCUGAUCUGAUCAAAGUGGAUGUCGGUGUACCGUCCGACGAUCACAGAUCAAAAAUCCAUCACGAGGAUCAUUUAAAUUCAUCAUCAUUCUUCUCAAAAUUCUAAAAAUCUUAGGAGAGAAAUAAUCUAGAGGGAGAAAGUAGAGAGAGAAAGUCCAAUUCU